AAAGGCUUCAAGCUAACAAGCUAGCUUCAGUGCACAGCAGAGUGAUUUCAAGUUCCUGAAAAUGCAGAACAUAUGCUUACAAACGUGCAGCGUUUUGGAGACAUGAGGUAACUGGACUUCUGCUUGGAUAAAGUGGUGGGGCCAAACUUCCCCUGAGGUUUUCAUUUGUGAGACGACAGACAGCUUCUCACCCAGGUACUCUGAAAUGUUGAUCAGCACACAAGCAUAGACAGCAGUCAGGAACAAACCUCGUCGUCCACCGAGAAAAACUCCACCAUGCAGGCAUCAAGCUGAGGGGAGACCAAGAUACACACCUACAGGAGGACCUACAGGAGGAUGGGUCCAUGUCCCUUCUUCAAGCUGCACCCCAACAGGCCCCAUAGGCUGAGGCCCAGCUACCACUCUGUAACUCUGUCCCAGCAGGUCUACCCAGUCUGCUGCCUCUGUGAAGUGAUGGGAUGUGUGAUGAGCGGGCUUUGUGUCACGAUCCAUUUGCAGUGUGAAGCAGAGAGCGUAGUCCUGCCCACAGCAGAGUUCAUCCUGGUACUUCUGUCACCUGUCACACCUCCAACAAACAGCAGAGAUCAUAGAAGCUGCACAUGCUGACGGUGUAACACGCCUGCACCGUGCUGGAUGGAUGAUGCAGCGUACAUCGGAUCAUCAGCUCUUUAUCUCCUUCUCCAAAAUGUUCUUUUCCAAGCAUUACUUUAAGUUCAUCUUCAGUUUAUUUAGACAAACAGUGCUUUUGUCUUUACAGAAUGCAGAAAAAACUCUUUUACAUGUUUUCUGGUAAUAUACUUUAUAUAUUAUUUAUUGUAAUAUAUGUUUUAAGCUGAGUUUGUCAGAGAAUAA